rnacentral:rRNA from 1 species
CCUACGGGUGGCAGCAGUGGGGAAUAUUGGGCAAUGGACGCAAGUCUGACCCAGCAACGCCGCGUGAAGGAAGAAGGCUCUCGGGUUGUAAACCUCUUUUAAGGGGGAAGAGCAGAAGACGGUACCCCUUGAAUAAGCCACGGCUAACUACGUGCCAGCAGCCGCGGUAAUACGUAGGUGGCAAGCGUUGUCCGGAUUUACUGGGUGGAAAGGGCGUGCAGCCGGGGAGACCAGUCAGUUGUGAAAUACACGGGCUCAACCCGUGAACUGCCUUUGAAACUGUUUCCCUGGAGUGUCGGAGAGGUAAGCGGAAUUCCUUGUGUAGCGGUGAAAUGCGUAGAUAUCAGGAAGAACACCAGUGGCGAAGGCAGAUUACUGGACGGUAACUGACGGUGAGGCGCGAAAGCGUGGGGAGCGAACAGGAUUAGAUACCCGUGUAGUC